GCGCGAAAACUGCACAAUGUGGGAAACCACGAUGCGGGAAGCCCAAGUGCCAGCACUAAGUGUUGGCUGUCCUCAAGCGUUCGUUGCUUGGGAAGAAAGUGCUGGGUAAGACGGGUGCCAGCCGCCGCGGUAAUACCCGCAGCACGAGUGGUGGUCAUUAUUAUUGGGCCUAAAGCGUCCGUAGCUGGCCUGCUAGAUGCCUGGGUAAAUCGAAUCGCUCAACGGUUCGAAUUCCGGGUAGACCGGCAGGCUCGAGACCGGGAGAGAUGUGGGCUACUCGAGGGGUAGGGGUAAAAUCCUGUAAUCCUUCGGGGAGGACCAGUGGCGAAGGCGCCACAUUUGAACGGCUCUGACAGUGAGGGACGAAGCCCUGGGGCGCAAACCGG
rnacentral:rRNA from 1 species